AGUGAGCGCUGGCGGUAGGCCUAACACAUGCAAGUCGAACGGCAGCACAGUAAGAGCUUGCUCUUACGGGUGGCGAGUGGCGGACGGGUGAGGAAUACAUCGGAAUCUACUUUUUCGUGGGGGAUAACGUAGGGAAACUUACGCUAAUACCGCAUACGACCUACGGGUGAAAGCAGGGGAUCUUCGGACCUUGCGCGAUUGAAUGAGCCGAUGUCGGAUUAGCUAGUUGGCGGGGUAAAGGCCCACCAAGGCGACGAUCCGUAGCUGGUCUGAGAGGAUGGUCAGCCACACUGGAACUGAGACACGGUCCAGACUCCUGCGGGAGGCAGCAGUGGGGAAUAUUGGACAAUGGGCGCAAGCCUGAUCCAGCCAUACCGCGUGGGUGAAGAAGGCCUUCGGGUUGUAAAGCCCUUUUGUUGGGAAAGAAAAGCAGCAGGUUAAUACCCCGCUGUUCUGACGGUACCCAAAGAAUAAGCACCGGCUAACUUCGUG
rnacentral:rRNA from 1 species